UAUGAGAGAGAGCAGGUCCAUUACCAUGAAAGAGAAAAUAUCCUGUCUUACAACAUAAUAUCCUCACUGAAGAAGACCAAAAUGAUUCCUAAAGGAUGAAAUAACUGAAACUUUC
rnacentral:lncRNA from 1 species